rnacentral:rRNA from 1 species
AUUGAACGCUGGCGGCAGGCCUAACACAUGUAAGUCGAGCGGAGCGGCGGACGGGUGAGUAAUGCCUAGGAAUCUGCCUGGUAGUGGGGGAUAACGACCGGAAACGGGCGCUAAUACCGCAAACUCUCAGAUGAGCCUAGGUCGGAUUAGGUAGUGGGUGGGGUAAAGGCCUACCCAGGCGACGAUCCGUAACUGGUCUGAGAGGAUGAUCAGUCACACUGGAACUGAGACACGGUCCAGACUCCUACGGGAGGCAGCAGUGGGGAAUAUUGGACAAUGGGCGAAAGCCUGAUGCAGCCAUGCCGCGUGUGUGAAGAAGGUCUUCGGAUUGUAAAGUACUUUCAGCUGGGAGGCGUUACCAACAGAAUAAGCACCGGCUAACUCCGUGCCAGCAGCCGCGGUAAUAC